CAUUUUUUGUAGUCACCUACCCCCUCGGGGGCAAGCCUCAUGUUUUUAUCUGCUCAGGAAAUUUUUCUGCUCUCUCUAAAAGGGCUCUCCCCACUAGAGUUAAUUUCCUGUGAGGUUCCCUUUCCUUUCCUUGAGUGAGUCCAUUCAUUCACUUAAGCUUCUGCCGAAACAUUUAAACCUCACUUCAACCUAUGGAUUUUGUGAUUUCCAAAGAUACAGUCUUCCUUUGGAAAAUUUUGCCAUGAUCCUUAAGAACUUCUUAAUUUUGUUUUUUCUAGCUAACGAUACUGAUUUUUCUGCUUCUAUUUUUUGUAAUCAACUUUUAUUAUAAUAAGUUACAUUAAAUAACAAGUUUUAUUAUAAUAAGUUUUGUCACUUAUUAUAAAGUCGACUUUUAGCACUAUGGAAGUCAACUACAGCUGCCCAUGCUACCGGAGCUCAGUAAAGUUCCAGAGAUCCGAGCCUGGACCUCAGACAAUGCUGCCCCAUAUCCCUGCGUGGCAUUUCCAAGAUGAUCUAAAGGUUACGCGUUGUGACGUCAACAGGCUCUCCAUGCAUCCUCAGCUUGCUCAGAAACAGGGUGACCAGCUUUAUAAGUUUAUAAAACUUAUAAACUUUAAACUUACAAACUUAUAACUUUAAAACUUUGUAAGUUUUCCUAGAACUGAGAGUUUCCUCAAGAUGAGGGACUUUCAGUGCCGAAACCAGGGAAGUCUAGGCAACUUGAGAUGAACUGGUCCCCUACCUAGAAUCCAAGCCCACACCUGGCAGCCAGGACCAACCAGCAGGUCACCAAGGAAUGUUUAGACAAAGGUCAUUCUCCUUGAGCCACUUGAUCCCCUGUCUGACUGGGACAGCAGCACUUUGGUAAAGAGUGGGAACAGUUACAAAGAUGCCUCACAGGCACCGUCUGCCUUUAAACUUGACUGACACAUCACCCCUUCUGCCUGCCUCUUCACUCAAGCCCACACCAAUCUCCUGAGAACACGGACACGGCCUUCCCUCUGUCUGAUGGCGCUCCCUCCCGCAUGGAAGACCCCAGCAAAGAGUUGUGGUUUAUAACAGAUUUUCACUGAACCCUUGGGAGCAAUGGAGGCUGUCUUAUUCAGAACUGGAUUUGCGUUCAGUACGACUAGAAGCUCCAUCCUACUCAUCUGUUCAAGGGUGUCAGGGCUAAAGUUUGUGGAAAUCUCUUGGCCUUUCCCCCCCCCAUCACAGGAUAACUCAAGCCAUCACACUGAGGAAGGAAAAAGGAGGAACAGAGGAAGCAGAGAAAGAAGGAAGAGCUCCUAUAAUUAGGGAAGCAAAACCGUCUCAACAGUCCUCAGCAAACAUCUGCCUAUGUGCCACUUUCUGAAACUGUUAUGUGGCCCCCACUGGUUACAAGAGAGUCUGGGCAUGUAAGGCUCUACCUUCUCAGACUCUACCAUAGAGGAAGGGAAGGAAGGAAACGAUAAAUUGGAACCCACCAACUCGUUACUUAUUGAGUAACCCACCCUCUUGUGUCUGCCUUAGAGAGUAGUUCACUGAUCGUUUUCCUUACUUGGAAGCUCGCUUUGUUAAAAAUUAUUACAGCUUG